rnacentral:rRNA from 1 species
GUGCAGCAGGCGCGAAACCUCCGCAAUGCGGGAAACCGUGACGGGGUCACCCCGAGUGCCUCCCGAUAAGGGAGGCUUUUCCCCGCUGUAAACAGGCGGGAGAAUAAGCGGGGGCGAAGUCUGGUGUCAGCCGCCGCGGUAAUACCAGCCCCGCGAGUGGUCGGGACGGUUAUUGGGCCUAAAGCGCCCGUAGCCGGCCCGGCAAGUCCCCGCGUAAAGCCCCGGGCUUAACCCGGGGAAUUGCGGGGAUACUACCGGGCUAGGGGGCGGGAGAGGCCGAGGGUACUCCCGGGGUAGGGGCGAAAUCCUGUAAUCCCGGGAGGGACCACCAGUGGCGAAGGCGCUCGGCUGGAACGCGCCCGACGGUGAGGGGCGAAAGCCGGGGGAGGCAAACCGGAUUAGAUACCCCGGUAGU